GGGGGCGACAUGGCUUCGACGUGGGUAGCGAAACCUAGAGUGCAUGCCGAGGACUGUACACCUCGUAAAAUCUACAGAAAAAAAGUAUUCGCAAACGACGAAAACUACUCAAUGGCAAUCGCUGCGUAAAAACAGCUUCCAUUCUUCUGACUGCCUGUGCUUAUGCGGGUAGAGUCCGGUUCGCCGGACGCUCAGGAGUCAUUUACAUAAGCUCGCGCUGAAGUCUGUCCGGAAUGGACGCGCAAAAACCUUACGGAAUCGCUGAUGGUUUUCUUGGCCCGACGGGUAGUCAUCGGUUAAAUCAAAAGUGCGGGAUAAGCAUGUAGACCUUGUGGCGGAGUACUUGCGGACGCGGGUUCAAUUCCCGCCGCCUCCACCA
rnacentral:tmRNA from 1 species